GACGAACGCUGGCGGCGUGCUUAACACAUGCAAGUCGAACGGAAAGGCCCCUUUGGGGGUACUCGAGUGGCGAACGGGUGAGUAACACGUGAGUAACCUGCCCUUGACUUCGGGAUAACUUCAGGAAACUGGGGCUAAUACCGGAUAGGAAUCCUUGCUGCAUGGUGGGGGUUGGAAAGCUUCGGCGGUUUUGGAUGGACUCGCGGCUUAUCAGCUUGUUGGUGGGGUAGUGGCUUACCAAGGCUUUGACGGGUAGCCGGCCUGAGAGGGCGACCGGCCACAUUGGGACUGAGGGACGGCCCAGACUCCUACGGGAGGCAGCAGUGGGGAAUAUUGCACGAGGGGCGGAAGCCUGGUGCAGCAGCGCCGCGUGCGGGAUGACGGCCUUCGGGUUGUAAACCGCUUUCAGCAGGGGCGAAGCUUGUGGUGACGGUACCUGCAGAAGAAGCACCGGCUAACUACGUG
rnacentral:rRNA from 1 species